rnacentral:lncRNA from 1 species
GCGGACGACGGCGAGAGUGGCAAAAGGGGGAGCAACAAGUACGCAUCACAGAUCUUGAUGGGCUGGCGGAGGAAGAUGUCGCGGGAGGCGUCCGCGGCACUGGUCGGCGUGCGAUCAGCACUGCAGAUCUUGAUGGGCUGGCAGCACUGGAUGAUGUCACCGAGGAGCGUGUUGUCCAUGUUGCUGUUGCCGCCUGCGGUGGAGUGGGGAUGCUGUGGAGUGGGGAGAUGGGGAGAAUAGCGGCGGUCGAUGGGUGAGAUGGAGGAAAAGGGGUGCGGCCGUGUCGCCUAUGCGGGGCAGGGGGCGGCGUGGUUGAGGCCUGCAGCGGCGCGGCGAUCGCUGCCACCGUUGGGGAGUGAGGAUGGGGUAGAGGUCGGCAGGGGUCACGGGGAGUGGGUGAGAGAGGAGAAUGGGGUGGAGGGCUACUGGGCUGGAGGCGUGGAGCAUGCCAGUGCGGAGAGGUGUGGGCCGGUGCGGGUGAGUGAUAGGCAGGCCGGUGUGGCAGUAGCUGUGCUUUGUGGGUCAAAUUCGGAGCUCCAUGGGUCCCGAGGGGGAAAUCUUUAACCCGGCUCCGCACCCGCCAUGUGUUCCGAACCCACCCCCACCCCCGUUGGGUUUGAAACCCGCAUGUCUCGGGUCCAGACCCACCCGAUUGCCAUCCCUAACGCCCAUGCUGCAAUAUAAGACUUCCAAGAACAUAGCCAGCCUCUAGAAGAUCAACAAGGCCUUUUUGAAAAUCCACACCAUGUGGGAGACUUUAACAUACCAUCAGAUAAAAUGAAUGGUUGCGAGAACAUUGUUUCAAAACAAAAAGAGUGAGAACUAAACUAAACUCCAUCGUGAUUACUUUCAUGCUAUAGCUUUUCAGGUGAUUUGGUUUUUAUUCCCUUCGUUCCAAAUUGUAUGUCGUUUUGGUUUCUUAGUUCAUAGAUAAUAAUAAAAUCUAUGAAAGGAGGGAGUAUUAAUCACACUUGGUGAUCGCUUGACCCUGAUCCAGCUAAUUAGGUCAACUAUUCCCUUUAUUUUGCUAUAUCCCUUCCCUUUAUUUUGCUAUAUCCCUUCCUGUCCCUCUCACGUAUCCCCCUUCCCUUCAUCAACUAUACGAUCAUAUCGUUUCACCCAGACACAUUCGUCGUCCUCCCUUCUCCUUUUCCAUUUGCAUUUGCUAGCCAAUCCUUCUCUGUUUUUCCAUAGUGGUGGCUCAAAUUGCAAAUUUUGCUGAAGCCAGUUGCUGCUAAUGUCGCGUGAGUGACACUGGUUGUUCCGCCUGCCAUUGUCUAACACCUU